ensembl:snRNA U6 U6 spliceosomal RNA
GGGCUCACUUCGCAACACAUGUACUAAAACUAAAUAAUACAGAGAUUAGUAUGGCCCCCAGAUGACAGGCAUUUCGUGAAGUGGUCCAUACUUUU